AUACGUAGGUGGCAAGCGUUGUCCGGAAUUAUUGGGCGUAAAGCGCAUGUAGGCGGUUUGGUAAGUCGGUCGUGAAAAUGCGGUGCUUAACGCCGUAUGGCGAUUGAAACUGCUGAACUUGAGUGCAGGAGAGGAAAGGGGAACUCCCAGUGUAGCGGUGAAAUGCGUAGAUAUUGGGAAGAACACCGGUGGCGAAGGCGCCUUUCUGGACUGUGUCUGACGCUCAGAUGCGAAGGCCAGGGUAACGAACGGGAUUAGAUACCCCGGUAGUCCUGGCCGUAAACGAUGGGUACUAGGUGUGGGAGGUAUCGACUCCUUCCGUGCCGGAGUUAACGCAAUAAGUACCCCGCCUGGGGAGUACGGCCGCAAGGCUUAAACUCAAAUGAAUUGACGGGG
rnacentral:rRNA from 1 species